GUUCUUUAGUGUGUUAUACCAAAUGGUUUUAACCGAUCAGAAUCAGUUUAACAAUGGAGUGAGUGGCGGCGAUAGUACUAGUGCUGGCAAUGCUAGAGAAUUUCAUGGUGGUUUACGCGUGCUGAUGAUUAAAUGUUUAAAAAUAAAUUAUAUUUCAGCCUCGGUCAUUUCUCAACAAAAACAACAACAACUACUGUACAGCAGCAAUACAACUAAGAACAACAAUAAUACAAAAGAACAUUAAGAAUUCUGUUGUUGUUGCUAUUGGUGUUGAUGAUGAUGAUAAUAAAGAUGAUGAUGACGAUGAAAAAUAUUGAAAAUAACAAUAACAACACACCGAGUCUAAAGGAGACAAUAUAACAAUAAUAUUACGACCGAUUAUAUUAACGAUCAUACACGAGGCCACCGAUCAAUAGAGCAAUCGUUGCUGUUGUUGUUGCUGUUUUCUUAAUUAUUUUACCCAAAAAAAGUAUCUUUGGAAUAUUUACAUUUAUUUUUAAAGUUUUAUUUUCGUUUCGUUGUUAAUAUUUAAAAUUUAAUUGUAUUUCUUCUUUUUUUUUUAAAAUUAAGAAACUCGCUCAACGAGUCUCAGACUAGAACUGAUUGUCUAGAAAAAAUAUCGGUGUUGAAAAAUUUGCUCAGAAAUUCCAAGUUGCCAACAACAAACAAAUGGCUGAUGAGCUAUAACAUUAAAGACAAAACAGCAACUAUUCGUUUUUUUUUUUGACUCUUUAUUAAUUUGUUGUUCAUUCAUUCGUUCGCUUGCAUGUGUUCGUUCGUUGUUUCGAUACAUUCGUGUAUGUUCGCUCACUUUAAUGGCGGUAUCAAUGUACAACGCUCGCACACCUUGUUUUAGUUGCUGCUUCUUUUUCCGAUUCUUUUUUUUUUGUAUUUUAUUACUAUUCAGCUGGUGUGAACUAAGACGUAUCAAGAUAUAAAUUGUAAUUAAAAGGCUCCCGAUGGGAAAUGUUGACCUGAAAGACGUGAUUUUUUUAAACAGCAUUAAACAAUAAUUGGUCUUCUUUUUUGGUUCCAAGGAGAACUGACCGUAACGUUGGAAAUAUUAAAAUACUUAUAGCUCGGUGAGUACUAUAUUCUUGCAGGGCCCUAGUUCAAUCCAAAAACUAUGGUAAAAUACAGUGCAACUAAGUUGAGAUAGAACCCAGAUAAAAUGUCUUGGUCAAGCAAAACUUUAAAGAAAAUACCCGUAUGAAUCCGUGGCUCUGAAUUGGUGGGAUAAAGUGGGCCAAAGUCCUAUAUUAAAGAAUAAGAAGCAAAAAUAUACCAACGCUUACCUAAUUACAAUACAA